rnacentral:rRNA from 1 species
GGAUUAGCGGCGAACGGGUGAGGAACACGUGAAGAAUCUGCCUUCAACUCUGGGAUAACUCCGGGAAACCGGGGCUAAUACCGGAUAUGAGCCUUGAUCGCAUGAUCGGGGCUGGAAAGUUUUUCGGUUGAAGAUGACUUCGCGGCCUAUCAGCUUGUUGGUGAGGUAAUGGCUCACCAAGGCGACGACGGGUAGCCGGCCUGAGAGGGCGACCGGCCACACUGGGACUGAGACACGGCCCAGACUCCUACGGGAGGCAGCAGUGGGGAAUAUUGGGCAAUGGACGAAAGUCUGACCCAGCGACGCCGCGUGCGGGAUGAAGGCCUUCGGGUUGUAAACCGCUUUCAGCAGGGUAUAAGCGCAAGUGAAGGUACCUGCAGAAGAAGCACCGGCUAACUAUGUGCCAGCAGCCGCGGUAAUACAUAGGGUGCAAGCGUUGUCCGGAAUUAUUGGGCGUAAAGAGCUCGUAGGUGGUUUGUUACGUCGGUUGUGAAAUU